AGCAGCCGCGGUAAUUCCAGCUCCAAUAGCGUAUAUUAAAGUUGUUGCAGUUAAAAAGCUCGUAGUUGAAUUUCGGGGUUUAUCCGUUGGUCGGGCUUUUUGGUCUGUACUGGCGUGAUGGAUUCCUACCUUCUGAAUAACCAGCAUGUCAUUAAUUUGGUGCGUUGGGGAAGCAGGACUGUUACCUUGAAAAAUUAGAGUGCUUAAAGCAGGCUAUUGCCUGAAUACAUUAGCAUGGAAUAAUGAAAUAGGACGCAUGGUUCUAUUUGUUGGUUUCUAGGAUCACCGUAAUGAUUAAUAGGGAUAGUUGGGGCAUUAGUAUUCAAUUGUCAGAGGU
rnacentral:rRNA from 1 species